GUGUCAGCAGCCGCGGUAAAACGUAGGAGGCGAGCGUUAUCCGGAUUUACUGGGCGUAAAGCGCGUGCAGGCGGUUCAGCAAGUUGGAUGUGAAAGCUCCUGGCUCAACUAGGAGAGGUCGUUCAAUACUACUGAACUUGAGGGCAUCAGAGGAAGGUGGAAUUCCGGGUGUAGUGGUGAAAUGCGUAGAUAUCCGGAGGAACACCAGUGGCGAAGGCGACCUUCUGGGAUGUUCCUGACGCUCAGACGCGAAGGCUAGGGUAGCAAACGGGAUUAGAAACCCUAGUAGUCC
rnacentral:rRNA from 1 species